rnacentral:lncRNA from 1 species
UCAGACAGUCAUGCAGGUGUGCAUAAUGACUUGGCAAGUUCGGUUAUCUGUAUCCCCAUCAUAUCGCCCAAGAGCGCUUAACCCAUCACGCAGAUAUUAUACAUCAUCGAAGUAAGGAGUAAGCGGAAAGGAUUACAAUAACAAAAUUUACAUUCAUAAGAAAAAUAUAGAAAGAGUGAUUAUUACAUAUCCGGGUACUUGAGUGCGUAAACUUAUUAUUACAUCACAGGAAGGCAAAACAUCUUCCCUAAAUAAGUCUUAGUUUUCAUCCUCCUGCUUGGGAACCACCUUGGAACAGAAACAACAGAACUUGGCUGUUUCAUCACCUACAACAACAUGGGUUUGAAAACCCUGAGUACGGAGUGUACUUUUGCAAGUAUUACCUAUCAAAGAAAAAAGACUCUCAAGGAUAUGCUGGCUUUUGGGAAUCAAGGUAAAGCUUAUCAAGAUUCAAAGACUCUCUUUGCAGAAAAGCUUACUAUGAGUGGAUCCUUAAAAAUCCAUUUUACUUAGCAGGUUAAGUAGUUACUUACAUCUAGAUUUCCUUCUAUUCUAGAUCAAGCACUUGGCCUAUACUAGCCGUCUUUUAUCAUACUUCAGUUCACUUGAUGCUACGUGUAAGUCAGUGACCAAGUCUUCAUGUCCAAGAAGUAAUGGCGAUCCGAAUCGAUUAAUACCUAGCUGGGGAGCUCCAACCACACGACAUAUGUAGCACUUAACCUUUGCAUAUGUCAACUCACACCUGGGUUUCUCAAGACCAGAAUGGGUUCACGCCAACCGAGAGCACAAAUACUCCACCGUCCAGCCUCUUGCCACGGAGGGUACACGCUACUCUCGACAUCUCUCCACUCCCAUUGCGUGGUGGCCUUUCUGGUAUUGGUACGGCCGAGGCAAAGCUUACCCAUGACGAGGCAUGUGGCCAGUUAAAAGGUCCUCGAUCAGCAGGCUACAUCGGCUCGGUCCUUAAGCGACUUAGACGGAGACACUACACCGAGACUCUCUUCUCGUGCAAGUCACCCACCCAGUCUUGUCUUUAUCAUUUAAAACUCAAAGUUUGGUACCUGACAGAGGUACUCUUUUCAGAUGUUGAACCCAUCACGGCCAUGAUGGAUUCACCAUCAUAAUUCUUUUCUUUGUAAAAUUUCCCAUCCAAUAUGAAGCAUCACCUUUUGUUUUAAAACAAAACAUUUUGUUUUCUAAAGCCAGACUAAGCAUCAUAAAACUCGUUUGAAUAAAUCAGGGAACAAGGAAUGGUAACCAAUUUUCCAAGGAAGGGAAUGCAUCAAUUGUUUAGCACACAACUCCUAUCACCUAAAGCAUCAUGCAAGGUGAUAAAGUUUUUUUAAAACAACAAGGAAAGGGAUAAUGCACCGGGGCUUGCCUUGUGUUGUAGGAGGUUCUGGUUCCACACCGCAGAGGUCGAAGUAAAAGUUGGUUUCUGCUGGAGGAUGUUCAGUCUGGGAGAUAACCUCGUCUUCCACAACGAUUUCUUCCUCGUGUUCUAUACAUGAUAAUACAUGUACGUGAAUGCUUAUGCCAUGCCAUGAAUAUGCAAUUACAAAAUAAAAUAUAAUAAGUUGCAUCUUGAAUACAGCUUUACUUCAUAGUAUAACUAAUCACUAAGGUUUUCUAAUUAGGUAUUCCUUUAGGAUUAGUACUUAGUAAUUAAUCUUAUGAGGCUAGUUAUUGGGUUUCUAGUUAAGCAGUGUCCAAAUGAUUUCAAACUUCACCCAAGGUCUUCAAUCAUUAUAUUAAGCUUACCCAAAAAGUUUUAUCAUUUUUGGAAUUACUAAAUUAUUUCUAAAAUUCUAAAAGACUUUAUCUAGGCAUCUUUAAGUGCUACAUAAUUUUAGGCUAGAACUAAAAAUCUUGGGAAUAUUCUUAUUAAAUACUUUUGGAGUCUAGACGUCUAACAAAAAAUGGUUUCAUAAUUUUACCAUUUUUAUACUAUUUUCUACAGAUUUCACAAGUUAUUAGGAAAAGGAAAAAUGAUGAACAUGGUUGGGCCGAAUUCAGUCCAAGUCAACCCGCGAACAGGGGAAACGUACGCGUGCCCGCACCCGCAUUGUUCAGUUUGUGUCAGAGUCCCUAGGGUUUCAAACCAUUAUGAAACGCCCUUUGAUACUAUCCUUAUGUGCCACUGAAAUUACAUUUGAACCCUUUUCCUUUACUUCAUUUACAACCGCAAGUCCUCGAAGAGCGCCGCGUCGAGCACAUGGCUGGUGCCAUAAGAAAUUACUGCCCGCAGCCCUCUCCCGAAGUGACGAGCCCUCCGGCUCUUUUGUCUAGGCUUUACCGACCACAACCCCACAAACAAUCGAAUUAACAUGACUUACGAUCUAGGCUAUGGUGGACACCGAGGUUUUGCCAGGCUUGCGUCCGAAACUACAACGCGAUAGAAUAUAAUUGGUAGGCACGACGAGUAUCAGGAACUCACCAGGAACCUGGAACGGCAGUGGGACGGCCUGGACGAAGAACAGAGAGAACGAUCCACUUGGAGAUGUUUGAUGACGGGGUGCUUCGGCGUCGAAGGGCUGUUCCGAUGACUCAACUGCAGUAGCGAUGAAGCAAACAGGUCGAUGAGCUUCCAUAGCAGCUGAGGGAUUUUGAACACAGCACUAAUAACAUAACACUACUCCUAGCCGACCUGACCAUGGAGGCACUCAUCACCGUGGAGCCGGGAAUGGCAGAGGAGAAGACGACACUUCUCAGGUUGCCCAGAAAGUUUAAUUGGUCGCUAGCUUCUACGGCGUGCAAAGCAGCAAGAAAAACAGUACUCGGCUCGCAUUAUAUAAUGACUAGGGAGACUGUCUG